GUAUGAUCACAAACUCCUGGUGCUGUAUCGCUGCUCCUCUGGACCGCUGGUCAUUCUCAGGUCCUCCUGACUCAGGGGCUUCCUCCAGUGGCCGUAAAAGGUAUUGCACCUGGCUACGUGACUCUGGCCCCGCUCCGUUUCUAUCUCGACCUCGCAGUACAUCUUGUCGAAGCUGGGUGGGUUGUCUUCGGGGGUCUCCACCUCCACUUUGGACAGGAGCUCCUUCAGAGCGGGCCGGUUCAUCUGAGCUCUGCUGAAGGAGGACACCGUCACCUCGUUGUCCAGCAGGGCAGAGGAGCCGUUGAACUGGAAUGAGUGCCUGGCUUGGUGCUCUGUGGUGGGAAAGGGGCAGUCGACGUACUUGGAUGGAGGCACUCUGAGGGUGACCUGCCUGAUCUGGCUGAGGUCAAAGUUCCCGGCCGUGUUUUCAAGCUUGGCGCGUGCUUCCAGAGCCGCAUCCACCACCCAGUGCAUCCCCAGGUGAGCGGGGAUGCGCUUGAAGGCCACGUCCUGGUCUUCCAGGAUCCAUUUAAAGUCAGCGGAGGCAGACACCGCCAUCGCCGACGGACUGUAGUCCUUGUAGUAAACCCCGAACCCGCAGUUAUUAUCCAGGAUGGCCGGGUUCCCCUCCAGUCCCAGCCAGGCCAGCUGGGCGGCCUCCAGGCCUUUCCGAGCAGCGUUUCCGAUGUGCAGAGGUUUGGUUUGCGUGGCGGCGUUAGCCAGGGGAGCCCCGGCAGAGGAGGCUGCGAUGGCCAGGGCGUGAGCGCACUGAGCCGGGGACAGACCCAGCAGCUUGGCCGAGGCUGCAGCGCUACCCAUCACCCCAACGACGCUGGGGGGGUGGAAUCUGGCGGAGGACCCAAACAUUAGGCUCUAUUUGACUUCAACACAGCAUUCUUCAAGAUUAAUGAAUAGUUAAUUAAUGAAAAGUAAAUGUUUCAAGCACAAAUACCACACCUUUACUGGUUAUGUGAUAAUUAAUUGAAUAUCAUUGAGAUUUAGACUGUUGGUCCGACAAAACAAGCAAGGUUUAAGACAAACGAUCACUUGAUUAAUCAAAAGAAUAUUCAACAGAUUAUAGUGAACAUAUAUUAGUUAUAAUAUAUACUGCUUGAAAACAACUUUUUCUCCCCUUUUUUUUCUUAUUUUUUCUUUUGGCACGUCAACUCAGAGUCUGAUGUUUGGUAUUGAACAGCUCACCUCUCAGGGAUGUUGUAGGCCUCCGACGAGAACCUCAUGAGCCUGCCCUGCACCUCGAUACCGACAUUGAAGGCCAGCAGCAGGUCCAGACCAGAGGGCCGUCUGGGCAGAGUCUCUGCCAGGGCCAGCAGGGCGGGCAGCACAGCCCCCGAGGGAUGGGUCGCGGGGUGCCAGGUGUCGUCGAAGUCCAUGGAGUGAACCUAUUCCCGGACAGUGAGACGGAGGUCAGACACAAAAUCAUUGUGUCACGCUUCUGUUUUAUGUCCAUCAGGGUGCAUUCACGUGAGCGGCCUUACCGCGACGCCAUUGACGAAUGCAGCGUAGUAAGGAGGAAGCGUUAGCUCCGAUUUACCCCAAACGCUGCUCCUCUCAUCGGACCGGAACAUCUGCAAUCAGACAGCGACAUGAGGACAAGCGUGCGGUCAUAUGGAAGAGGCGUUCCGACCCAUGUCCAACACAUACACUCAUGACUACAUAAAUAAACCUAAAAGGGAUCAAAUCAAUUUAUUGAAUUCUCAUAGAACAGAAAGGGAAACAGUAGUUUAACUAUUUGUCUCAGCUGUAAAAGAUAUUUGACAUUCAGUAGCUUUCUACUUUAGUUUCUGAUCAACACAGACGACUUGUGAUAGGCCCAAAAGAUAUGAAGAUGAUCACAGGUUGACAGAUAUUCCUAAAACUGUUUUCAACCCUACUUUACUGAAGAUCAAAUCUCUCAUUAAAUAUGUUCUUCUUUUAUAUAUGAUGCGGUCGUGAGCCAUAUUUCAGUGGGUGCAGUUGAUCAGUGAGGCACCUUUCCGUACCUGGCUAUAUGCGAGAGCCUUGUUGAAGACAGCCGUCCUGGUUCCCAUCAGCCCGACGCCCAGGGCGUCCAGCAUCAUCCUUUUGCUCCUGUUAAUCACACCAUCUGUCAGCUGGGGGGGGGAGAGGCCAUGGAUAGCAGCUCCAAAGCUCGCUGUAAUACCCUGCAGAGGUGAAACAAAGGCCAGUCAGAGGCAAACCUCCACAGAGACGGUGCAGUUGUGAAAGGUCAAACCAGGUGAAGAAGUUCAAAUGUGCUGCAUCUAGUGAUUCUUUAACACCCCCCCCCCCCC